UGGGGAAUAUUGGACAAUGGGCGAAAGCCUGAUCCAGCCAUGCCGCGUGUGUGAAGAAGGUCUUCGGAUUGUAAAGCACUUUAAGUUGGGAGGAAGGGCAGUAAGCGAAUACCUUGCUGUUUUGACGUUACCGACAGAAUAAGCACCGGCUAACUCUGUGCCAGCAGCCGCGGUAAUACAGAGGGUGCAAGCGUUAAUCGGAAUUACUGGGCGUAAAGCGCGCGUAGGUGGUUCGUUAAGUUGAAUGUGAAAGCCCCGGGCUCAACCUGGGAACUGCAUCCAAAACUGGCGAGCUAGAGUAGGGCAGAGGGUGGUGGAAUUUCCUGUGUAGCGGUGGAAUGCGUAGAUAUAAGAAGGAACACCAGUGGCGAAGGCGACCACCUGGGCUCAUACUGACACUGAGGUGCGAAAGCGUGGGGAGCAAACAGG
rnacentral:rRNA from 1 species